rnacentral:lncRNA from 1 species
AUGCAGGCAUCUCAAUCCGUCAGCUUGCACGGGAACCUGCAUUGGAUGGUGCAGCGUGGCUCGGGCUCGACCGCGCGGUUGAACGUGCUCGUGUUCGACACAGCGCGCGAGAGGCGCCGCCGUGGGACGACAGCCGUGGCGGGGGGGGGGGGGGGGGGGGGGGGGGAGGAGAAGAAAGGCCUGGCCAUGUCGCGGGUCGUCGUCCUGUCCGGCGUCGGCAAGCUCUGCGCCGUGGCCGUCUCGCCGGCGACGAACACGAUGGAGAUGUGGGUGCUCGACGACGACGACUCCUCCGGCGGCGCGCGGGCGUGGCGGCUCGCGGAGAGGGUCGGCCUGGUGAUGAUGUGGGACAAGCGCGACCUGUCGAGGGCUUUCUCGUCGGCGACGCAGGUGUCAGCGGUGCAGGGCGACGCGGAGGGCGAGGAGGUGAUCCUCCACAACGACGGCCAACAUCGACGCGUAUGCCGGCGCAGGGCGUGGUCGACGGUGUCCGUCUCCCGCUUCGCCACGCUGCUGCCGCAGCGUCGUGCGGCACGACGUGAGCUUCGGCGAGGCGUCGCGGCUGUUGGCCCAAAACCGGAAGACGUUGGCCCAACCGGGAGAAAGCCUUGCUACACCUCAAAAGCUAGUUCAAGUGGUGAGGGGCUCUCCCACUUUUAAGUUGGUUUAA